UACAGAGGUCUCAAGCGUUGUUCGGAUUCAUUGGGCGUAAAGGGUGUGUAGGUGGCGCCGUAAGUCGGGUGUGAAAUUUCGGAGCUUAACUCCGAAACUGCAUUCGAUACUGCGGUGCUUGAGGACUGGAGAGGAGACUGGAAUUCAUGGUGUAGCAGUGAAAUGCGUAGAGAUCAUGAGGAAGACCAGUGGCGAAGGCGGAUCUCUGGACAGUUCCUGACGCUGAGGCGCGAAGGCCAGGGGAGCAAACGGG
rnacentral:rRNA from 1 species